rnacentral:lncRNA from 1 species
GGACAGCGUGGGGACAUCGUGGGGACACCACAGGGACAUCGUGGGGACACCACAGGGACAUGGGGACAUCGUGGGGACACCACAGGGACACCACAGGGACACAGCGCGUGCCCUCGGCCAGCUCCAGCACCGGGCCCUGCAGCCGCGGCAGCGCCGCGCUCAGCGCCUCCAGCUCUGCGGGGACAGCGUGGGGACAUCGUGGGGACAUCGUGGGGACACCACAGGGACAUGGGGACAUCCUGGGGACACUGAGGGGACACCACAGGGACAUGGGGACAUCCUGGGGACACCACAGGGACACCACAGGGACAUGGGGACAUCGUGGGGACAUCGUGGGGACACCACAGGGACAUGGUGGGGACACCACAGGGACACGGGGACAUGCUGGGGAGACCACAGGGACAUGGUGGGGACAUGGUGGGGACACCACAGGGACAUGGGGACAGUGUGGGGACAACAUGGGGACACCACAGGGACAUGGUGGGGACACCACAGGGACACGGUGGGGACAUGGUGGGGACACCACAGGGACACGGUGGGGACACUGCAGGGACCCCCCGGCCCCCUCUGUCCCUCCCCGUGGGAUCUGCUGGGUCCCAGGGGGUCCCGAGGCCCCGACCCCGCUCACCCGAGGGCAGGGGUCCGU